GAUGACGGGAGCUUGCUCCUUGAUUCAGCGGCGGACGGGUGCGUAAUGCCUAGGAAUCUGCCUGGUAGUGGGGGACAACGUUUCGAAAGGAACGCUAAUACCGCAUACGUCCUACGGGAGAAAGCAGGGGACCUUCGGGCCUUGCGCUAUCAGAUGAGCCUAGGUCGGAUUAGCUAGUUGGUGAGGUAAUGGCUCACCAAGGCGACGAUCCGUAACUGGUCUGAGAGGAUGAUCAGUCACACUGGAACUGAGACACGGUCCAGACUCCUACGGGAGGCAGCAGUGGGGAAUAUUGGACA
rnacentral:rRNA from 1 species